rnacentral:rRNA from 1 species
CAGUCGCCGCGGGAAUACAGAGGGUGCGAGCGUUAAUCGGAUUUACUGGGCGUAAAGCGUGCGUAGGCGGCUUUUUAAGUCGGAUGUGAAAUCCCUGAGCUUAACUUAGGAAUUGCAUUCGAUACUGGGAAGCUAGAGUAUGGGAGAGGAUGGUAGAAUUCCAGGUGUAGCGGUGAAAUGCGUAGAGAUCUGGAGGAAUACCGAUGGCGAAGGCAGCCAUCUGGCCUAAUACUGACGCUGAGGUACGAAAGCAUGGGGAGCAAACAGGAUUAGAGACCCCUGUAGUCCCUGUCUCUUAUAA